GCUGCUUCUGUAGGAAAAUUACGAACGUUUUGAGAAAGAAGCAUUUAAUGGUUUAUAUGGUCACACUAUUGACCUCAAGAUAAAUCUCAUGUGCUUCUGUUGCAGCAUGCUUAUAUUAAUAACUUCAUUUUUCACCUAUAGAACGGCUCCAUCCAAGAUGCUGCCAGACAUCUAAUGACUUUGUUGAAUGCCCACCUGCAAACCCCCAGUGAGCAGCAAGUAGCACAAACGGGAUCAGUACAGACAACACCACAACAGCCAGCAUCAGCACAAGCCAGAGUUCAGCUUGAAAUGUCAAGGUCAUUUCCAGGGUUCUUUUCCAAGGCCUCUGCAAGGGGGAAAAAAGGUUUCAUUCACCCUGUAAAGUGAUGUCUUUCAGUGGAAAGGCUUGACAUUCCAAUUUUAUUUACUUAAUAAAAGCAUAGACAGGACACCAACAGCAAGUACUGAAUUAACACUCGUCUUAGCUGGAAUGGGGAGACACACCGUCACACUGCCUGAGUCUGCUGACCACUUUGAGAUUUCAAGACUCUUGACAUGUCAGUUUCCAAAACUUGAAAGUUUAUCUGGAGGUUGGCUGCUGUAUAAAGCACUUGGGGGAUCAGGACAGUGUAAACUCUCAGUUAUUCCCCCAGAAGCACAAGGUUAUAAUGGUGGCAUUUUAAAAACUGUCCCUGGAGGAG